rnacentral:rRNA from 1 species
GACGAACGCUGGCGGCGUGCCUAACACAUGCAAGUCGAGCGGUCCGACAUUUAACAUUGAGUAUUCAGUACGAGUUGGCAGAUGAGCCAGCGUCAGGCAGAAAGAUACUUGAGAUCAGAUCAGGUUUUUUGCUUCACGCCAUAUCAAGUGCCGGCGCAAAGGCGGACUGAGUAUUGAAUGUUGAAUGUCGGAUAGCGGCGGACGGGUGAGUAACGCGUGGGCAACCUGCCUUUCACAGGGGGAUAACACAGGGAAACUUGUGCUAAUACCGCAUAACAUCAUGUGGGGCAUCUCAUGUGAUCAAAGGAGCAAUCCGGUGAAAAGAUGGGCCCGGUCCAAUUAGCUAGUUGGUGAGGUAAUGGCUCACCAAGGCGACGAUUGGUAGCCGAACUGAGAGGUUGAUGGCCACAUUGGGACUGAGACACGGCCCAGACUCCUACGGGAGGCAGCAGUGGGGAAUAUUGCG